GAUGAGGAACGUAGCGAAAUGCGAUAAGUAAUGUGAAUUGCAGAAUUCAGUGAAUCAUCGAAUCUUUGAACGCACAUUGCGCCCGCCAGUAUUCUGGCGGGCAUGCCUGUUCGAGCGUCAUUACAACCCUCAGGCCCCCGGGCCUGGCGUUGGGGAUCGGCGGAGCCCCCCGUGGGCACACGCCGUCCCCCAAAUGCAGUGGCGGUCCCGCCGCAGCUUCCAUCGCGUAGUAGCUAACACCUCGCGACUGGAGAGCGGCGCGGCCACGCCGUAAAACACCCAACUCUUCUGAAGUUGACCUCGAAUCAGGUAGGAAUACCCGCUGAACUUAAGCAUAUCAAUAAGCGGAGGA
rnacentral:misc_RNA from 1 species